UUUCUUCCUGUUUCUCUUGAUCAAAUUCAGAUGAAUAAUCAGGACUCAAUCUUUGUGUUGUUUUCAGCACAUGAUACUAUUGAAGAAAUUUUCAGCCAAGAGGAACACAAAAAUAAGGAUGUAAAAAUCUGCCAUAGUCCCACUGAACUCCUCCCAUGUACCAAAAACCAAUGUUCUGAUUUGCCUGCAGAUUCCUGAGAGCACAUCAUUUAGUGCUAAUGACCAGGGAGCGAGAUUCUGCCCUUUCAAAUAAUAUGCUUCUGUCUCAGUUUUCCUCCCAGUUUAGAGGACCUUCUAACUGAUAGAGUCUUUGCAAUGAACUGUGUGUAUGUGUACAGUUUCUACCAGAAAUUCCAGACUUGUCAAUUUUGAAGUCAAAUAGACAAAAUUAUAAUUUUUAUAAUGGUUAUUUCUUUGUUGUUUGUCUUUCCUUUUACCUAAAUGCUUGCAUAUUUAUAGACAAAGACAAUAAAAAAUAUUUUUUAACAUAUGUACCA
rnacentral:lncRNA from 1 species